rnacentral:misc_RNA from 1 species
GCCUUCCAUUUUCCCAAACUACCUACAUUAUACCAAUGAAUCAAAAAAAAUAUAGUUGAGUUUAAUGCAGAAAUUUGAUCAAGUUUCUCAAAAUGAUAACAAUGUGGAAAGUGAUCAAUGUAAUGAACAUGUGGCAUAAAACAUUAACAAGCAAGCAUACUACAGAAAUGCAAACUCUCUUACAUUAGAUAUAGAUGAAGCAUUAUACAUAACAGUUGCACUUUUGUGUGCAGCAGUAAUGAGCCUAUUUUAAUGUUUUCUGCAUAUACAAGAACUAUGGGAAGUGAAAUGGAGAUGGUCACAAGCAUUUUGGAAAUUAAUAUCACAUACAGUAAUAAUUGUUUUGUAGGCACAUAUAAAAUAAAUACAUUACACAUACAUGGGCAUUCAUUUCCACCAAAUUAUCAGACUUGACCUACAUCAAUUCUGGUUUCCUCAGAUCAUCCGCACUCCUAAACUCCCCAUUCAGAAAAAACCCCAAAGAAGCAACCCAAAAGUUUUUUCAUCAUAACUAAAAGAUCAAACAAGAGAAUCAAGAAAAAAAAGAACUUAUAGAUCAAAAUCAUCAACCACUAACAAAUACUGGAAACACAGAACCAAGCAAACGAUAAAUUAAACAAUUACGAGACAUCAAAAGGCAAAAUUAGUGAAAUUAAACGAAGAACUUGAGAGAAAAUGAUUGAGCGAGAAGCGAGUAGAGUAGUUUAUGGGCAAAUACCUUGGUUGAAAUCGAU